GCCCGAUUAGCUCAGUUGGUUAGAGCACGAGACUCUUAAUCUCGGGGUCGCGAGUUCGAGCCUCGCAUCGGGCU